AGUGCUCAAUCUCUGACAUGUCCACAUCUCCUCUGUAGUUACGACAAACCAGAACCUGGAGCGGUGAAACAUAAUCAACAGGAACUUACUUCUCUAGCUGUCUCUCCAUCCGACAUGCUGCCAAAGGGAAAGGCAAGGGCAUUGUAAAAGGUGUGCUGAAGGGGCCGGAGUUGUGUAAGGACCCUGUGAAGCUCACCUCUCAUGCUGUCGGAGUCAACAUUUUUAAGCAAGGAGACAACCCUGCACUUAAACCACACAAGGAAUACCCAGUGGCUCUUCCAGUUACAGCUGGGUCCCCUUAAGAAUAUCCACGAGCUGGAGCCAGUUAGCUGUGAAUACUGGAAGGUCCUGAAGAAGGAACACGUGCUUCCCAGGGUCCUAGACACUAUAGCGCAGCUGUAACCAGACACUAUAACACAGCUGUAACUUGACUGAGUCAAUACUCUCAGCUUGCAUGUCAUCUUUCUGCUGAAAGGGAAUAACCCAUCACCUCGAGAACUUGGACUUUGUACUGUAAACUAAGGCAAAUAGAAAGACCUGAAUUUUGAAUCCAUCUCAACUUUUGCCUUUCGAUUUCUUAUCUCAAAUGUUACCAUGUCUAGGCUUCUUUGAAAAAGAUUACGCAUACAGACAUGUUAUUUUAGAAUUAUGUGAGGGUAUGAGUUUUGAUUCACACCUUGCAGAUAGCAUCUGUAAUACUCUGUAAACAUACAAAAGGAUUUCUCUUUUGUCUCUCCCUUCUGUCUCAGUAUGUGUAGCCCAUCUAUGUCUGUUCAAAAAGUGGAUAACAUUGUUGGCAGUAUACAAAGCGUGUGAAAAGUUAGGAUUUGGCUUGACACCAAUCACAUCAGAAGCCAAACGUCAUUGACAGAAACAAACUUGAAUUGUUGUGUCGUUGUCCUCCAGGGUCUAGCUAUCUAAAAUCGUCCCUUUUCAUGGAUAGAGACAGGGAUUUGGACUUUUGGUUUUACUUCAUUCUCCGUGCUGGCCAAUUAUUAUAAGGGAGAAUUCUGAUCCAACCAUAAAUUCCUACAUUGUUCCCCUCUGGCCUGAGAGGAUAGAAGAUCAACAUGUAGAUAGUUUAAUUAACUGGUCUGACACAUCAUUGCCCAUGAAAGGAAGUUAGGCUUGCGAGCAAGCAUUUUAGCCAGGUAGCCUAGGACAACAAAAACUAUAAAAGUGUGUACUGUAUGACAUAGAGUGUUUAGGCAACAUAAAAGAGUAGGAUGGCAUAUGCAUUUCCCUACAAGUAGGCUGAGUCAACAUGUUUUUUCUACUUACACACACACACACAGAGAACUCAGUCCCAUGGACUGACAUCUUAUUUAGCUUAAGUUGAUUGGACUAAAUCGUUUUUGGUAUAUUUUAGUAGUCAGAUGAAGUGUAACUUACUCCUCAGCCUGAAGUGUCCACACUUGUGCCAGCGAAUAGCUAGCUUUUCGCGUAGCACCGACUGGUAAGACGUUACAGGAGGGCGGUCAUGUGUGCUAGCACGGCAGAGGUCCCAAGUUCGCGUUCAGAAAAAUGAAGGCCUUGUUUAUUCUCGUCACUUGUCAGAGAGAGAACACCUAAAUACCUUUUGACCUCUGCUUAUUUCGUGCAAGAUUUUGUGUAUCAAUGGUGAAUAAAAUGACUGCUUUGAUUAUUCUGUAAGUGAUUAUUUUGAUUAUUCUACACAGUGGCGUGCUCAUGGAUGCCAAGGGAAGCCAGGCUCCCCCAAAUA